rnacentral:rRNA from 1 species
GACGAACGCUGGCGGCGUGCUUAACACAUGCAAGUCGAACGGAAAGGCCCUGCUUUUGUUGGGUGCUUGAGUGGCGAACGGGUGAGUAACACGCGAGUAACCUGCCCUUGACUUUGGGAUAACUCCAGGAAAAUGGGGCUAAUACCGGAUAGGAUCUUCUGCUGCAUGGUGGGGGUUGGAAAGUUUCGGCGGUUGGGGAUCGUCUCGCGGCUUCUCAGCUGGUUGGUGGGGUAGUGGCUUACCAAGGUUAUGACGGGUAGCCGGCCUGAGAGGGUUACCGGCCACAUUGGGACUAAGAUACGGCGCAGACGCCUACGGGAGGCAGUAGUGGGGAAUAUUGCGCAGUGGGCGGAAGCCUGAUGCAGCAACGCCGGGUGCGGGAUGACGGCCUUCGGGUUGUAAACCGCUGUCGCCUGUGACGAAGCGUGAGUGACGGUAAUGGGUAAAGAAGCACCGGCUAACUACGUG